GGGGAGACUCCAGGCCCUCUCUGGGCAGCCUGUUCAGGGCUCUGCCACCCUCAACGUAAAGAAGUACAGCCCGAUCCAGUUCCCCACUGCCGGCACAUCCUACAUCCCUCCCGCUGGAGGAGGCCCCAGACCACCGGUGCCCUUAUGGAGGUUCAUGGGGGUCCCAGAGCCUCCAAGUCCAUCAGAAAGCCCCGAGAUGAGUUUUCUGCACUGCAAUCUCCUUGAUCGUGAUAUCCUCCAUGACCCCACACCAUAAACUUUCUGGAGAAUUGCUAGAAGCCAAAUCUUCCUAAAGACCCUGCGUUCCUUGGAGCACCUCUCCACCCAAACCGGCUGCACAUCUGCAGCCUGGGCUGUGCCGUGGUGUUGCUUGCACCUCUCAACUUCAUUGCUUUUAGGGGUUACCAACUUUUCCACGUUUCUCUAAACAAAGCCUUUCGCCAGCCACGGACUUAAACACGUGCGUAUCUCAAUUGCUCCGUGUCACUUGCGUAUAAUUAAGCAUGUGCUUAAGUGCUCUGCUGGAUUGAAGCCAAAAUCUGCAUAAGCUCUGUUGGGUAAAAUUUACCAGCUUCGCUGGGCUUAGCUCAAUGAGUCAUUCAAUCAGCAGCAGCCCAAAGGUUUUUGCUAGAAGCUUAGUUAUUCCCAGGUUGUCCUACAGGAUCACCCUGUCCCCGUGACAAGGCUUCUGCCCUUCAUUCAGGUCCUGUUAGAAGUGAGACGCAUCUGCCCGGUGACUCAGCUUUGCCAAGGGUUUCAAGUUCCUUCAGCAAGAGGCAUUAAUAAGGUUCUGCAUCCUCACACAGGUCUUCAACAGGAAGUGGCUUCAGAAGUAACUGUACAGAUCAAGCAGAACCAUCACGUUUGACCUCCUGCAUGACAAACUGAAGGAUUUAAUUCAGAAAUUUAUGCUUCAAGACAGUAACUUCUGUUGAAGCGGCAGCUGAUCUGGAAAGAUCUUGUUUGGGAAUUUGAGAGAGAAGUCCACCAGUUAGAUAUGUUUUUUAGAUGGCCUCUUAGCCUAACUCUCAAAUUUAUGCCUUUGUACUUGUCUGAAUUCAUUAAGCCUGAGCUUCUAAUCAUUAGUUUUAGCUAUCAGAUUUAACGACUGCAUUUAAGGAUUUUUAACUGUUUUCCAGGUCUUUCUUUAUCCUUGCAACUCUUUAUAAAUCCCCUUCCAGUUUUUUAAAAACUAUUUUUGUUUGUUUGAAAAUACUGUUAGCCUGGGCCUACUGCUCAAUCAUUUAGCCCACAGACAGGUAAAUUAACAAACAUCAAGUGCAGCUUUUUUCACCACCCCCUCAUAUCCACCUAACCUUUUAUCUGCACCUCUGGAGUGAUGUACAAAGUCUAAUGAUGUGACCUGUCCUACUGACUCUGCCCAGGGUGAUGUUUCCUGCUGCUUCUCUGUCCUUCCUCAUGUAAAACAAGGAUACGGCAUGUCUGUCUUCUCCCCUUCCCCAUGUGGAUGUCACAACUCACAGUUAAUAGUCUCAUUCCUUCCAACACAUACAAUUGGCUUUCUUGACUUUAAAAAAAAAAAUAAAUCUGUUGGACUA